CUACGGGUCGCUGCAGUGGGGAAUAUUGCACAAUGGACGAAAGUCUGAUGCAGCAACGCCGCGUGGAGGAUGACACAUUUCGGUGCGUAAACUCCUUUUAUAUAGGAAGAUAAUGACGGUACUAUAUGAAUAAGCGCCGGCUAACUCCGUGCCAGCAGCCGCGGUAAUACGGAGGGCGCAAGCGUUACUCGGAAUCACUGGGCGUAAAGAGCGUGUAGGCGGAUAGAUAAGUCAGGAGUGAAAUCCUAUGGCUCAACCAUAGAACUGCUCUUGAAACUGUCUAUCUAGAAUAUGGGAGAGGUAGAUGGAAUUUCUGGUGUAGGGGUAAGAUCCGUAGAGAUCAGAAGGAAUACCGAUUGCGAAGGCGAUCUACUGGAACAUUAUUGACGCUGAGACGCGAAAGUGUGGGGAGCAAACAGGAUUAGAUACCCUGGUAGUC
rnacentral:rRNA from 1 species